rnacentral:tRNA from 1 species
GCCGGGGUGGUGAAAUCGGUAAACACAGGGGACUUAAAAUCCCCCGCCCGAAAGGGCUUGCGGGUUCGAGUCCCGCCCCCGGCA